GGUUGUAGCUUAGUGGUAGAGUGCUUGCCUACCAAAUGUGAGCCCUGAGUUUGAUCCUCAGCACCA
rnacentral:tRNA from 1 species